rnacentral:rRNA from 1 species
AGUGAACGCUGGCGGUAGGCCUAACACAUGCAAGUCGAACGGCAGCACAGUAAGAGCUUGCUCUUACGGGUGGCGAGUGGCGGACGGGUGAGGAAUACAUCGGAAUCUACUUUUUCGUGGGGGAUAACGUAGGGAAACUUACGCUAAUACCGCAUACGACCUACGGGUGAAAGCAGGAGAUCUUCGGACCUUGCGCGAUUCAAUUAGCCGAUGUCGGAUUAGCUAGUUGGCGGGGUAAAGGCCCACCAAGGCGACGAUCCGUAGCUGGUCUGAGAGGAUGAUCAGCCACACUGGAACUGAGACACGGUCCAGACUCCUACGGGAGGCAGCAGUGGGGAAUAUUGGACAAUGGGCGCAAGCCUGAUCCAGCCAUACCGCGUGGGUGAAGAAGGUCUUCGGGUUGUAAAGCCCUGUUGUUGGGAAAGAAAAGCAGCAGGUUAAUACCCCGAUGUUCUGACGGUACCCAAAGAAUAAGCACCGGCUAACUUCGUG